rnacentral:tRNA from 1 species
UAAAAGAUAGUGUAGUGGGUGCACGAGGGGUUUUGAUCCUCUAGGGGCAGGUUCAAGUCCUGUUUUUUUAG